CCUUGGAACUGCUACUGUAUGAAAGCUGUAUCCUAGAGGUAGAACACAUGGUAUGGAAUAUGGCUGCUGCAUUGCUCCUGGGUGCCAUUGGGCAGGUCACGAGAAGCAGACAAGUGAGUGGUGAGUCUGUAUAUCAACCCUUGCAAAGGAAGCUUUCCCGAAGCUGUUGUCUCCUUGAUGUCCCAUGCUACAGUUUGUCAACGGUUUAGUGAAACCCAUAGUGUAUCUGUGACAGCCUUUCAGCAAAUAGUAUCAACAGUAGGACAUAUUUGAGGAAAAGCCAUGUCAUAGCCAAGAGGUCAAACAUGGACCACUGCAUUAAGGGCCACCAUUAAAUGUCACCAGCACAGCUGCACUGAG